AACAACAACGUAAUAAAUGCAUCAAAUUUCAAAUUUCGGACCAUACAUUGCCGAAGCGUUUCGGUAUCGGCGGCCGGCUGUUGGACCGGCCAUUCAUAUCGAAACGGCCAUAUCGGGGUGCGAUCACCGCGGCAAAGUUCCCCGUAACGGAAAAUCCGUUCCUCGCCCGCUUCUUCUCGCCCGGAGCCGAAUCCGGUCCGCCGCUUCUCCCCGCCCGGUGAUUGCUUCUUUAUUCCAACCAAGGCCGGAGAGCGAGCGAGGGAUCAAAACCCUUAUUCUCUGGUACUCCAGAAGCGAUGGCUUCCACAGUCAUCGCUCGAGCUCCAUGGCUCCGAAGGAGAUCCACCGGCGGCGAGGGCAGGAUAAAACCUAACAAAACCCCCUCGAUGAUCGCCAUUAGGUGGCGGCGGAGGGCCUUCGCGAUGGCCUCCGUCCAAGAAGGAGACACCGGCAACGGCGGCGACAACAAUAUCGGAGCUCUCGAGUUGAAUACCGCCUUCGAUGAUCUCCAGCCCGAUAUCCUUUCCAAGGACUCCCCUUCGCUGCCCAAACCUCUCUCUAUAUCUGAUGUCGCUGGUUCGGUUAAUGGGUCUCGUCUUCGAGUUGCUUACCAGGGUCUUCCGGGUGCAUACAGUGAAGCUGCGGCGGCAAAGGCAUACCCGAAUUGCGAAGCCGUUCCAUGCGAACUAUUUGAAACUGCUUUCGAUGCUGUUGAACGUUGGCUUGUUGAUCGGGCAGUUCUACCCAUUGAAAAUUCAUUAGGUGGUAGCAUCCAUCGCAACUACGACCUUUUACUUCGUCAUAAAUUGCAUAUCGUCGGGGAAGUAAAAUAUGCAGUUAGGCAUUGCUUACUAGCCAACCCUGGUGUGAAAAAGGAAGAUUUAAAAAGAGUUCUCAGCCACCCUCAAGCUCUCGCACAGUGUGAGCAUACGCUGACAAAGUUGGGAGUUGUCAGAGAAGCUGUUGAUGAUACUGCAGGAGCUGCAAAAUUUGUUGCUGUCCAAAAACUCCAAGAUGCAGGGGCAGUUGCCAGUUCAUUGGCUGCUGAAAUUUAUGGUUUGGAUAUUCUUGCACAAGAUAUCCAGGAUGACCCUGAAAAUGUUACUCGAUUUUUAAUGCUAGCACGAGAACCAAUUAUUCCAGGUACCGACAAACCAUUUAAGACGAGCAUAGUUUUCUCUCUAGAAGAAGGACCUGGUGUGCUUUUUAAGGCUCUUGCUGUUUUUGCCAUGAGAGACAUCAACCUCACAAAGAUUGAAAGUCGUCCUCGAAAGAAAAAGCCCUUACGCAUGACUGAAGAUGGCAGCAAUGGGCCUCUAAAGUUAUUACCACAACUGUUCUGUAUUUUCAUAUUUCUUUGUGCAUUUACGUAUAUCGACAUAUCCCAAAAAAGUUAUAAAGAUUUUGAGGCAUCAAUGGCUGCGCCAAAUGCUCAGAAUGCCCUUAGGCACCUAAAGGUAUUGUCUCCUAGAAGUCCCUGCAAGAUAUCUAGGAAACCCAAAGAGGAUCAUGACAGAGCCUUCUCCUGACAGGAAUUUGCAACGUUCUUAAGAGUGCUGGGAAGUUAUCCAAUGGACACGAGCGAUGCAUGAAUGACCUGAGGAGAAGUGAACACACCUGAGCAUAGAAGUUCAUGGGCAAGGAGGUAUGAUGUGUUUAAGAAGGGAAGGAUUUACUUCAUCCAGUCAACGCAGUUUUGAGGAACAUAUGGUUGACUUGAGGAUCAAAAAUGGUGAGAGUAUCUUUGUGUAUGGAAGGUUUCCAUACAUCCAGAAUAAUAUCAUUUUUUUUUUGGCAAAAUUCAGAACCUUCGUCAAGCAAUGUAUAGAAAGUUGUUACACAAUCAUGUGGGAAGCAAUAUUUUUUUUUUCUUUUUUCAAUGUUCAAAAAUUUAUCUCUUUCCUCUCCAUUUAGUUUUUGAUCUAUUAUCCAUGUGAAUCAGAAAACUAAUUUUAUGACAUGCAAAUUUCUAAUAGUUUAUCUUCUAAUGA